rnacentral:rRNA from 1 species
AGAGUUUGAUCCUGGCUCAGGACGAACGCUGGCGGCGUGCUUAACACAUGCAAGUCGAACGAAGCUUGAUUACGGAUUCUUCGGAAGAAGUAUGAUAUGACUGAGUGGCGGACGGGUGAGUAACGCGUGAGUAACCUGCCCUUCAGAGGGGGAUAGCGUUUGGAAACGAACGGUAAUACCGCAUAAUGUAUUUUGACCGCAUGAUCGAAAUACCAAAGAUUUAUCGCUGAAGGAUGGACUCGCGUCUGAUUAGGUAGUUGGUGGGGUAACGGCCUACCAAGCCGACGAUCAGUAGCCGGACUGAGAGGUUGAUCGGCCACAUUGGGACUGAGACACGGCCCAGACUCCUACGGGAGGCAGCAGUGGGGAAUAUUGCACAAUGGGCGCAAGCCUGAUGCAGCAACGCCGCGUGAAGGAAGACGGUUUUCGGAUUGUAAACUUCUGUUCUUAGUGAAGAAUAAUGACGGUAGCUAAGGAGCAAGCCACGGCUAACUACGUGCCAGCAGCCGCGGUAAUACGUAGGUGGCAAGCGUUGUCCGGAAUUACUGGGUGUAAAGGGAGCGCAGGCGGGUGAUCAAGUCAGCUGUGAAAACUACGGGCUUAACCCGUAGACUGCAGUUGAAACUGUUCAUCUUGAGUGAAGUAGAGGUUGGCGGAAUUCCGAGUGUAGCGGUGAAAUGCGUAGAUAUUCGGAGGAACACCGGUGGCGAAGGCGGCCAACUGGGCUUUAACUGACGCUGAGGCUCGAAAGUGUGGGGAGCAAACAGGAUUAGAUACCCUGGUAGUCCACACUGUAAACGAUGAUUGCUAGGUGUGGGGGGUCUGACCCCUUCCGUGCCGGAGCUAACGCAAUAAGCAAUCCACCUGGGGAGUACGACCGCAAGGUUGAAACUCAAAGGAAUUGACGGGGGCCC